GACGAACGCUGGCGGCGUGCUUAACACAUGCAAGUCGAGCGGUAAGGCUCCUUCGGGAGUACACGAGCGGCGAACGGGUGAGUAACACGUGAGUAAUCUGCCCUUCUCUUCGGAAUAAGCGUUGGAAACGACGUCUAAUGCCGAAUAUGACCUUCUUUCGCAUGAUCGAAGGUGGAAAGCUCCGGCGGAGAUGGAUGAACUCGCGGCCUAUCAGCUUGUUGGUGAGGUAAUGGCUCACCAAGGCAUUGACGGGUAGCCGGCCUGAGAGGGUGACCGGCCACACUGGGACUGAGACACGGCCCAGACUCCUACGGGAGGCAGCAGUGGGGAAUAUUGGACAAUGGGCGAAAGCCUGAUCCAGCAACGCCGCGUGAGGGAUGACGGCCUUCGGGUUGUAAACCUCUUUCAGCGGGGACGAAGCGAAAGUGACGGUACCCGCAGAAGAAGGACCGGCCAACUACGUGCCAGCCGCCGCAGUAACAC
rnacentral:rRNA from 1 species